rnacentral:rRNA from 1 species
UACGUAGGGGGCUAGCGUUGUCCGGAAUCAUUGGGCGUAAAGAGCGCGUAGGCGGCCAGAUAAGUCCGGUGUGGAAGUCACAGGCUCAACCCUGUGAAUGCCGCUGGAAACUGUCUGGCUAGAGUCCGGGAGGGGCGAGUGGAAUCCUGGUGUAGCGGUGGAAUGCGUAGAGAUCGGGAAGAACAUCGGUGGCGAAGGCGGUCUGCUGGGCCGUGCUGACGCUGAGGCGCGACGCGUGGGGGAGCAAACAGG